UACGUAGGGUGCGAGCGUUGUCCGGAUUUAUUGGGCGUAAAGAGCUUGUAGGCGGCUCGUCGCGUCGGGUGUGAAAACUUGCGGCUUAACCGCAAGCCUGCACCCGAUACAGGCGGGCUAGAGUUCGGCAGGGGAGACUGGAAUUCCUGGUGUAGCGGUGGAAUGCGCAGAUAUCAGGAGGAACACCGGUGGCGAAGACGGGUCUCUGGGCAGUAACUGACGCUGAGGAGCGAAAGCGUGGGGAGCGAACAGG
rnacentral:rRNA from 1 species